GUCUUACUCCCUCCGUCCGGAAAUAGUUGUCAUUAAAAUAAAUAAAAGGUGAUGUAUCUAGAUAUAUUUUAGUUCUAGAUACAUUCCUCUUUAUCCAUUUUGAUGACAAGUAUUUUCGGACGGAGGGAGUACAAA
rfam:Triticum aestivum genome assembly, contig: Triticum_aestivum_CS42_TGACv1_scaffold_307024_4AS